rnacentral:rRNA from 1 species
UACAGAGGGUGCAAGCGUUAAUCGGAAUUACUGGGCGUAAAGCGUGCGUAGACGGUUAUGUAAGUCAGAUGUGAAAGCCCCGGGCUCAACCUGGGAAUUGCAUUUGAGACUGCAUAGCUAGGGUGCGGAAGAGGGAAGCGGAAUUUCCGGUGUAGCGGUGAAAUGCGUAGAUAUCGGAAGGAACACCAGUGGCGAAAGCGGCUUCCUGGUCCAGCACCGACGUUCAUGCACGAAAGCGUGGGGAGCAAACAGG